CUCAAUUCUAUCGAAUUUCUCAUAUUGAAAUCAUAACUAAAAUAUAUAAAGUACUGUACUGACUGUAAUAAAUGUUUGAAAGCUCUAAAAAUGUUUCAAGUACCUUAUGUACAUGGGUUUGAUAUUACUUUAAGAUGCAUCAAUUGAUUAGCCAAUAGACAAAUUCUGUAGAGAACUUAGAAGGUGGUGUUGUAUUGUGGAAUGAAAUAUGUAUCAUGUUUUAAAUAAUCUAUUAAAUUAUUCAUAAGUACCUUAUGUAUAUGGGUUUAAGAUGCAUCAAUUGUGUAUUUUAUAAUUUCAAUAUUUCGAAU
rnacentral:lncRNA from 1 species